ACUGAUAACCCUUAAAUUGUUACUGGUAGAACCAGCGCGUCUACCAGGUCUCGGGCGGAGAUUAUAGGGGAAGGAGGGGAUGGCGUGUGAGCGGAGGCGAGGGCGCCGGCGGCAGGGCGCCGUCGCGCGGCGUGGGGGAGAGGCGGCGCACACGCAGGGAGGCGGCUAGGGCUUGGAACUCCGACUCCUGAGGGAGUCGGCAACAAAAGAUUGUUUAUUGCUUGAUUGAUCCUGUCUAUUACAACUUGUAUUUAUAAGAGAAAUCACGAAACCCUAAUCUGCUAAUUGGGCUAAGCCCCUAACUAAGCCUGGCCGGCCGGGCCAGUGGGCCCCCUCCGGCGGUAGACCAGACCGGUCAUAACAGUUACACACAUAUCUGCAGGCUAAUUUUUUUUAAUCAAGUUUGUUGAUCUUUUGAGGCUGUUUGGCUAGCUGAUUAUGCUCUAGGUGUAACUGGAGUAUCUCCAGUCCUGGAAAAUCCAUUGGUAUAUACCAUUAGUAUGUUGCUAUUUCAGUUUCCGAACGCAAUUUGAAAAGACCCAGUGCAUGCAAAUGGAAGAUGACGACUUCUUAAAGGGGAAGGCAAGGCUGGGACUGAUGGUGCUCACGUUGGAGGUGAUCCAGGGAUGUUGGUGUCUUUCAGUUCGCCGAGUAGAAUAUGUCGAACUGCAUGGUGUUUGGUUUCUUUUGGUUCGCCUCUAGUUGCCAUAGUGUUCUUUCCGCUUAGUUUUAAAUUUUGUGUAACUCUUCAUAUGUUUCCUAUAUUACGCUUUGUACUGUGCUUUUCAUGAAUUCAAUAUGAGACUGCGCCUAUGAAAUGCUAUAUUGUACCUACUUGUUAUUGCAUGUUCGUCGAAAAUGAAUUUUUUUUUAAUAUCAAAAUUCAUACCAGUGACA